GGGGUUGUGGCUCAGUGGUAGAGCACUUGUCUAGAAUGUGUGAGGCACUAGGUUUGACCUUCAGCUCCA
rnacentral:tRNA from 1 species